AGUUCCAGUUCCCACCCUCCAAUAUUUUUGCCAACAUAUGCUUGACAGUAUACAAUACAGAUCGUUAAUUUACGGUCAUGCCCUUUCCAGGCACGUAAAACCCGGGGGGGGGGGGGGGGGGGGGGGCAGGAAACCUAACGUUUUACUGUUAAUUUACUAUGAAAAUGGUCAUACAUCCAGACGAUUUUUUCAUAAUGCUCAAAUAAAUGAAAAAAAAACAACAAAAAAGAAUUAUAUACUAUGAUUAAUACGAUAAAUUCUUUCCAUAUAGAAGUUUUGAGAUAAUAAAACAGCCAAAAUUUAAACACACAACCUCUAACAAAUUUUCAGAAUUUAAAUACUAUAACAUGUAUUAUGUUUCCGCUCUGUAUACAACAUAUAAUAAACAGGUGAAAACACAAUCUUCAUUACCGGCAAUCCUGCACAAAAAAUAAUGCUGAUACACACAUAAAGCUACCAACUAAAUGGUAUUUACGCUCCAUUAAAAAAAAAUUGUCGAAACUAAUUUUUUUCAAAAAAAGUUAUCUGUAAUAAUAAAAAUUAAGCACUUGUACAACAGGUAAACUUCUUUUCAUUCACCGAUGACUCUUAUCAACCGUGUUACAUCUACGAUUUCCUGUAAAAAAACCAUUCAUCGUGAAAUCAUUAGUACUCAUGACAUUCAAAGUAACAUAACACUGUCAUCUAAACAAAACGGUUCGCGGACGGUCGUCUUCUGUUAGAACCCAUGCGUAAACAAUAAUGCCACCGAUAGAAGGCGCAGCUUACAACCGUACAUAAAGUUAUCGUUCGUGUCAUAGGUCAUUGAUCACCUGGUGUCUGAGGCCGUGACCACUGGCAAUAAUUUUAAUUAAGUUCUCAAUUAUUCCCGAUACUGAUUAUCCAUUGAUAAUUUAGCUCGCAAUUAAUGGCUCUGGACAGGCACAUGCUUAUACCUCUGAGAAUAAUUGUAAUAUUAUUUAAAACACAUAAAAAUUGGUUCUCAUGUAUCAUAUUUAAAUCCAUUUGAAAAAAGAAUGAACACGCCGAUCUGUUUGCGCUUUCACUUCAUAAAUAAACAGAUAUAGGAAGUUCUUUCACUACAUGAAUGAACGAAGCUGAUAAUUUUGAAUUCCAAAUAAAUAGUUUUAAACAUGAUUUCUCAUUUACAAGGCUUUCCAAUUAAAUUUUGGCGAUCCCGGUGUUAUGUAACAAAUAUUUUACAUACUUUUAGAUCUCGAAAAUCGGCAAAUGGAUUGCUAAGAAGAAACAUGACAAUAACUACAUAUACAUAUUCACAUUUCCCCCUUAAAUAAAAAUAAAAUUAAUAAAUUUCAUCAGGUUUCCUCUCCGUGGUAUGGUCAAAUGGAAACACAUGUAAUAACUUAAUUAAAUCAUUUAAACACAGAAUAUGUUAUUUUCAUUUCUAUGCAGUAAUAUAUGCGCCUAGAAAUAAUUAUACUUCUAACUGAAACACGCUAUCAUUUUCAAAAAAACGUUUUCAAGGAGAUCGGCUAUAAAUCUAACCGAACUAAAAACAAACGCUUCGAUUAAAUAAGAUGAAAAUAACGUAAGCUGCAAAUAUAGUACAAACCAUCAUUCCACACUUUCAAAGCAAAUUACUAAUUAUGUAGUACUUUCUUCUAAAUAAUCACCCAUAGAAAAUUAGAGUAAAUUUGACAAUAUGUAUAAUAAAUUAAAUCAUUGAGAAACUAACACCAUUAAUAACAGAUAUGGGAAUGUGUUUUAUAGAAAAAGUAACAAAGUGUUUGAAAGCAAUCAAUAAAUAUUUAAUGCAUGAGUUAUCAUGAACUCGUGCUGUAUGGACACCAGUCCCCCCCCCCCCCCUUCCGAAAAAACAACAUACAAACAAACAUAAGGAAAAAAACUCGAUUUUGUUUACUUUGUUUGGCGCCGCGGGAGCAUUUUCAAUGUGAUUUGAAACAUUCUAUUGGUCAAGUCGGAUUUUAUGCUCUUAUAAAGGAUCAAAAUAUUUUUGAACAUCGUUAGAAACUGGAGCUGCUGACAAUUUACUAUACCUGCAAUGUUUCAGUACAAUGAAUUGAUGAUAAGUUUUUAUAUCAAAUAAUGAAUAACUAUUGAUUUAUCAGGGUGCAGAGUUUGUGAGACAAGUUCUGAUUUAGGUUCUACCCUUCCUUUAGGACAAAAUGAUAUAUAAUAUGAAUUAUACAUCUUAUAAAUACAACCUCAACACCACAUAUAAAUGUAUACGAUUUGUAACAAAAUUCUGUAAUAGAUAUGAACACUAAUAAAUAAAACAAGAGUUUAGAAAAUCGAAAUUGACAAACGUCAGUUCAUGACUUUCUAGUCACAGGUAUGGGUGAAAGGAGGAUGCACAGCAAGUUGAAGUCCCUACUACCCACUAAUUUUGCCAAUAUACGCUUUACAAAAGAAUACAAAAGCCUCAAUUUACGACCGUGCCCUCUUAAUCUGCAUUAUGCACAACCCCCUAUCUUUCUGCCUACAAACUGCUACGCGGGCUUCGAGACUUAAGCCCCUAACUGCAGCGUAGAAACCCAAAGAUAUCGACAUUUUCAAAGAUCAGUAAAGACGCAAAAAAUCUGAAAUAAAUCAUAAAAUCACGAGGGUGAACUCAAAGAAAAAAAAAACAACCAAGCAGGAUAAGGUGCUUUGACUCGACGCAUCGAAGUAUGGUCUGAAACAAACCAAUAUUAGUCCUCUUUCUGACCACUGUUCCCUGUUCUGUAUCUGUGGAUGCUUUGGGAAAGCAGGAUAACCAUUUUUGUCGGGGGAGGGGGGAUGAUGUUACAUAUAUCCAAGGAUGAAAAACAACAUCAUUUAAAAUUUUCAGCAUUUUAUCGGUCCAAAAACAGGUUGCAUUUCAAUGGAAAACCGUCACCGUUAUUGCCCAUUGCACCUUGGUGAAAAGCAAUGUUUUUAUGAUAUCCACAUCAUAAAACACUACUUUUCAUAAAACCUUCCCAUUAAUAUCUGACAAUCUAACAAAAGAGACUGUCUCUUCGAGCCGGAAGAACAGAUAGCAAUAUUACCGAACACUAAUGAUAGUUCCAGCAAACAAAGUUUAAGAUAUCACCAAGUCCCCCUAUCCGUGCAAAUGUGCCCAGACCGCAACUUUUAAAAAUACACCGUAAGCUCAAUCUUCACAUAAAGAUUAUUAAUGACAAUAACAUAAAUAAUCUUGAUGUAAGGUCAUUUGCACCAUUUCUAAAGGUCUAAAAGUUAAAAAUUGAUUAAAGUCUUAAUAGAUCUAACUAAUGGCAAAUUUUAAUUAAUACUGAAAGAAAAGUUUCCAUAUGAUCAAAGAAAGUGUCCUGGCCUUGACCCAUGCUCAUAUUGUCAAGUUCACUUUUUUGAAAAUACAAACCCUGUCCUGACCAUAUGCUGUAAUGAAGAAACAUUUAAAUUUCAUACUUACAACAGAUUUUCAUGUUAAUUGAGGCUGCAUUAGGACCUGACCCAAGGACAUAUGGUCAAGUUCAAGGUUUUUAUGUCACACAGCUCCGACGGAAGACCUCUCGUUGCUUUGCAACGAGCUUUGCUCUAGUUUCAUAAUAUUUUUUGGGUCGAUUUACGAAUUACGAGGUAGAAUUUUCAAAAUGCUGAUUAAUUAAUAUCAUUAUGAAAUGUGUUAGAUUAAGUUCAAAUAAAGUUCUUACAAUAUGAUUAUCCUAAUGAAUAAUAAAAAUUGUAACACAUAUAGAAAAAAAAUAACAAUAACAGAUUUAAAUCUAGGCGAGUAUGCAUGAUUUGUCACAGUGAAAUAUUGAUAGCUGUUGUACUUUGUCCAAUGCUACGAUGUUAUAUUAGAAAACUUUAAAUAGAGUCGGAGCAAAUUCAGUCACACACAUGUAAAUAGUGUACUGACAUUUUCAAAGCCUGUCGGCAAACUACAUCAACCAAGUCUGAGCUUAUUUUUACUGGUCACCAUUCCCGUCAAAUGGAAUGUCGGGGGGGGGGGGGGGGGGGGGGCUAUAAAUGUAAUCAAGAUAUGCAUGCAAUACAUAUCGAUUAUCAUGGAAAUUUCAUUUCAGGUACCUCAGCAUACGACUUUUCAUGGAGAAUUCUACUUUGUAUCUAUCCUGUAAUAGACUAUGAAAAUGAUCCAAGUGAAUUCCAUUCCUUCUAACAAAAUGGAUGUUCCCUGGAGGCCCAGAGUUCUGAAAGAUGUUAAGGAAUUUUGUAUUCGGUAACUCACAGUCACCUGUCUCACUUGUCCCGCUACAAUCGGAAGACAUCAACCAAAAAAAGGAGAAAAAAAUAGGUUUAUCGAUGAUAGCAUCGCAUAUAAUCUGACGCAUAUCUCAUGCACCAAAAAAAAAAAAAUAUAUAUAUAUAUAUAUAUAUAGAGAGAGAGAGAGAGAGAGAGAGAGAGAGAGAGAGAGGAUCGGAAGAGAUAUAUAAAAAAAAAUCAAUAUUAUAACAGGCAAACUAACAAUGUACGAGAUGUUUACUAGGAAUAAGGAGCUUGGGUGUCCCCUCUUGGGUUACAAAUGACUGCUAUUCUCAGAUUUACUAAUUUAGAAAUGUCAAAGUCUAUAUUCAAGAGUCCACAACAGAAUGAUUCAGCACUUAUAUUGCAGUAUUUCUCUAGUCGUUCCAUCUCUCUGUGAGCGACUUCGAUCCUCCUCUUAGUAAGGGCUUCCUCCCUGUUCUGUUGUGCCCUAUCCUGUUUCAGGGCUUGUGUUUUCUCCCGAGCCUCUGAAAAACAAAAAGAAGUGUUAAAUAUGCAAUCAACGUUGGUGAAUAUUAAAUGAUACGCAGCAUUAAAUUCAUAUUCAUCUACCUCUCCAUUUCUCAAUGUCCUCCUCCUUUUCUUCAGGGAUUCGGGGAGGUGGCAUUUUUGGUGUAUCCUCAGAUAUAAAAGUCAGACCAAAGGCGACUCCGCCUUUCUUACCUACCAUCUCCUCGGUGACAAUUUCACGGCAUACUUUUUGGUACACCUCAAUGUUCCUAACGAAACGUCGUUUAAAGACACCCAUGAGAGGAAGACAAACCAUUCCCCUUCCAUCAGCGUACGCCCCUCACACUCCCUCCAUCAGGGAAUCUGUUUCAAUGGAGGAGAACCGAACAUUGCUGCCCCGAUGCCUCUGCGGCCUGCUGGUCCGUCUAACGAAAUAAUCAGCAAAUGAAGUGAACUUCCUAGAUAGCUAUAUAAUCAACCUGGAAAUAAUUAACAAACACUUUCUAAUUUUCUUUAGACAAUCAUGACUUUGAAAUGUGAAAAAAAAAAAUGAAAUGGAAAAUGGGGACAUGUGCUUCUGCAAGAUGUUUCAACUGUGGAUACGAGACUGAUCUGAUAAGUCUUUAUGACAAAGGCAAAAACCACAAAUGCCUUAUGAACUCCGCCAAUGUUAAAAACUUAAAUAGGCCAGAUGUUCAGUUCCUCCUGGCUUGAUUGAACGUAAAUUCUCCACGAUGGGUCCAUCACUAAAUACAGAGUUUUGAGUGAAGCAACCGAAAAUAACUAAGGUGGAAAAUAAGAAGUCAGUGAUUGAAAACCAAGUAUGCGGGGGAAAAAAGUUAAAAGGCCACGGAAACACAAGGAAAUAAAGUGGACCUACAGAUGGACACAUCUUACAGUAAUCGGAAUCAGUCUGGAAUGAAAACUGGAAUACUGUCCAUUGCUCCUGUGGCCGAAUGUUGUACAAGCCACAAACUUGUAGCAUUAAACAUUUAAAACAAAGCGUGCACGAGGAGGGGCAAAUGUGAUCACCAGGGCUGUUAUAAAAUUACGCCACUGGUAGAUCCAUUGCCUCUUCGACCAAAAUAAAUCUGAAAUCAGUGACCUAUGAUAAAAUUGGGAAGUGGUGAGAGAAUUCUAUCACCAUCCAUUUCACAUUAUCACUGCUUAGAUCAUCAAUUAAGAAAUUUACAAUUAACAAAAA